GUGCUCGCUUCGGCAGCACAUAUACUAAAAUUGGAACGAUACAGAGAAGAUUAGCAUGGAAAAUAAGUAAAUUUUAAUAUCAUUAUCAUGAAUCCUGACAUUUUGUU